CUAUUCGACGAGGACGGAUUCUUGGAGGGACUUGGACGGAAACAACGUUGUUCUCGAUCGAGACGUUAGAAUCGACAAGCCCAUCACAAGCUUGCCCCGCAACAAUGGCUACUCUGCGCACUGGAAAGCAGCAUCUUGCGAAGCAGGAGGAGAUUGGGAGCCUAUGAUUCUAACCUUCGACAUGAGGAAGGAAGUGUUUCGGAGCAUCGCGCUUCCGAAUGAGUUUUCUACGAAUUCCCCUCGUCUUCAACAGUUUGAUACGACGAUUGUUGCAAAGGAGGAAUACUCGUUUGAUCUCAUUGCCACACCUCGCAAUGCUAAGGCUAGUGGUGUUGUGGAGAUUUAUGAGUCGUCGAUGUGCGAAGGGAAUGGGAAAUUGAGGUGGAAUUAUGUGGUGCAGCGUGGGACGUUUACGUGGGAUUGUGUGGUGCAGCAUAGGGAAGUGAUACCUCCUAUGCUACCU
rnacentral:lncRNA from 1 species